GAAGGUGUAGCAUUGGAAAUGCUAUGUAAAUGUUUGUUUACCGAGGGUUCGAAUCCCUCUCUUUC
rnacentral:tRNA from 2 species